rnacentral:tRNA from 1 species
UGUCGGUUAUGUCAGCGGUUAGACGGCGAAGCUUAUACCUUCGAGGUCGGGGGUUCAAAUCCCUCACCGACAA